CGCUUGCUCACGGACAGAGACCGUUGUCACAGUGCGGUGCUUAAGCAAGUGUUCGAGCAAUUGCUAUAGGCGGCAUGCGUUAGUUUCGCGCUGUUGCACACUCGUUCUUAUGUACGUAUUUCAACACAUACGACAUUAAUACGACAACACAGAUGUGAAAGAGAUGGGCAGGCUAUACACAAUACAGAGAUGUAUGCUUGUCCACACAUACAAAGAACGCAUCACCUUGACUCUGUAAAUUGCGCCAAUUUUCUUUACCAUUUCUAUUGGGUUUGGUACUAAAUUAUGGUAAAUGUAUUAUGUAUGCUCAUAUGGAAUAUAUGCAGACACGGAUCUUAACCAAGCGUAAUGGUUUUAUUAAAAAAAAAAACAACAAACAUUUAAAAACAGACGAGUGUUAAUUUUACAAAUAACAAAUCGGCAUCAAAAUCUAUAAACACAAGAAAGCGUCUGCGCUGACUUCGAGAACCACAGUCAUUAGUGAUGUGUGUUUAUCUUAAUUAUUUUUGUUUUUUCUUUUUUAGAAAAGAGCGGCAAAAUUAGUUGUACAAAACAA